CGCGGAGGGGUGCGGGCGGCCGGCGGUGGAGGCUGUCGCUGCCGGGGAGCCGGCGGGCAUCGCCCCGAAGGCUGUGAGCGCUGACAGGUGAAGAGGAGCAGCUUAGGCAGAAGGAGAAAUCCUCCGGACUUACAGGAGACAGAACUAGCAGUAUUCAAAUGGGCACCACACCGAAAAUAUGUUAUCUCUUUAAUUGCACAAAUAUUCCAUUAAGUUAAAGAAGGUGGCCUAAAGCACUGAAAUUUGCCAUUCAACAGCUCAUCAAAGGCUUUGAAACACUUUAUAAAGAAGCAUAAUUUCUGACUGAAGAUUUCUGCAGAGAGAUGUAGAGGGUCACAUUCUUAGCUGGUAUAAAAAUGAGGUCUGAGCAUCCUCCAGUAAUGAACUGACCAACACAAUCCAUGCGUUUUCUACUUGCCAGAAUAAUGGUGGCACCAAAUCAUGGUCCGUAUAGUCUAUCCAGAAAAACAGAAGCAGAGCCUUGAGAGGUCAAAAUACAUAUGGCUUUACCAAAAUCACACAGUUUACAUCGACUGAAGGCCUGACCUGCCAUCAACAGCACAGUGCAGCUUAUACUGCUUUGGGAGGGAAGGGAAACAGCAACAAUUUAAAAAUCCUUGUUCCCCUGUGGUCAGAAAUGGUAUGCUGCAAUCGUACUAGUAUGCAACCACAUUUAAACAUAGCUGUGGCUGGCAUAGCCUGAAUUCUAAUGUGGACAGUACCUAAUUUAGGAAAGACGCGGGAGAAGCUGAAUGUAAAUGCGCAUAGGGGAAUAUAAAUGACUGGCACCAGUGUCACUUUCACUUUGUUAUUAAAAGCAGUCUCAGUGCUUUGGAAGCAAACAGGCAUCAGAGAAGUGGAACUGGCUGCUGCUUUUAGCACAAGGACAGGGACCCUCUAAUUUUAACGCUUCAUGAAUGUAGCGUAUGAGCAAGAUAGAUACACUGAUGGAAGCAGGGAAGGAAUCUGGCCAUCCUCUGAAUACAGGCAGCUCCAGCUGAGAUCGCAUCAUGUUCUGGUUUGGAGGCACUCACUUAGGUUUUACGCCACACCAGUUCCUAGACAAAAGCCAAUUUCUUCCUUAUGAGAAUUGUUUUUUUCCACUGGGAGCAAAGCUAUUAAAUGACUGCAGAAGACAGUGUAGGUGAGGGUCACUUCUCAGCUGUAAGUUAAAGGUCAUUGUCAUCUACUAGAAGGCAGGAGACUUCGGCAGCUGUGUGUUUUCGCCGUCAUAGUAUCUCACAGGGAAAUGUUUUCUCUCCCAUGGCAAGUUGCCUGAACUAUUUGGUCAGUUGUAGGCUCCUUAGCUCGUUGCCUAAACCAAGGAUGGCAAACCAAGCUACUGCGGCUCUGCGGAACGGAGGCGAACGUCCGUCCUGUGCCCCGAACGCCCUCCCGCCACAGAGGGAGACGAGCCCCAGGCAGGGGAAUGCACCGCUGAGCUGUCGCAUUCACUGCAGAGAGGCUGAUCCAGCUGGAACUGACAGAGCAACGUUAAGCUCAGGUGAUUAAAAAGGCAGGGGUUACACCACUGUAUUGCCUUGACUUGCUGCGGAUGUUUUCCAGUGUAGAUGAACACCCUGUUGCAUUCAUUUCUACAUAAAAUAAUACCAUUUGCUUUGUAAAUUAGGACUGUAUAGCUCUUAGCAAAAUGUGCUGCUAUCUGCCUAUGUCAUUUUUAGCAGGGUGUUAAUAAAUAUACAGGUUGGCCUUGUCACUGCUUCUGAAAUAAAUUAAGGUUUCUUUUGUCAAA